ACGGAGGGUGCAAGCGUUACUCGGAAUCACUGGGCGUAAAGAGCGUGUAGGCGGAUAUAUAAGUCAGAAGUGAAAUCCAAUAGCUUAACUAUUGAACUGCUUUUGAAACUGUAUAUCUAGAAUGUGGGAGAGGUAGAUGGAAUUUCUGGUGUAGGGGUAAUGUCAAUAGUGAUCGUGAUUAAUACCGAUGUGGGGGGCGGUCUAAAUGUACAAUAUGUAUGUUGCGUCGUUUUUGUGUUUUAUCCAAAUAG
rnacentral:rRNA from 1 species